ensembl:lncRNA
AGAUGCAAAAGGACAUAUAAUGAAUGGAUCCACUUACCUGAGAUAUCCAGAGAAGUCUAAUUCAAAGUGGCAGGAAGAGAUGGUUGUUGGUCUCUGGAGGGAGGAAAAACAGGGAGUUUCUGUUUAGCGGCUACAGAGUUUCAGCUGGGGAAGACAAAAUAAUUCUGGAGAUGGAUGGUGGUGAUGGUUAUACAACAGUGCUGAAUGCAUGAACACACUGAAGAAGCUGAUAAGCAACUGACUUCCAUUUAGUUAUGUUAAGCAAGGUGGAAGGGAAGAAAUCCGCUUGGUGCCAUCAUGCUGGAGGUUUGCGGACAAAUCUCAGCUUAGAACCCAGGUGAACUGGCUCCCGACCCCAUACAGUGCCCUAGAGGCACUGUCAUUCCCCAGAGAGGAGCAGGUAGACGUCUGGGACAUGUCCAAGCUUUGGGCUCCUGAUGUAGGCCUUGGGAGAAGACACCUCUAAGGCGCCUUAGCUAGGCCUCUCCUCCCCUGACUGGAGCGUCUGAACUUACUAUGGGCAUUGAAAGUUACCAUUCCGCGGCCAAAAAGGGAUAAACUCAACUGGCUGUGAUUCAGGACUGAAAAAGGAAAGCUUCAUCUUCACCUGCGAGCAUCCUUUCACCUUCCUCCUCCACCCAGGAAAUGCAACGAACGCCGUCUCUGGGGUCGCACAGAGUCGGACACGACUGAAGCGACUUAGCAGCAGCAGCAACUGGGUCAGAGGUUUCUUUCCUCCCCACGCCCAUCCCACCUCCUAAUGCAGUGCAGGCGUGGAAGCGGUCCCUCCAGGCACUGAGAGGAGGGGUGAGGACAACAACAUUCCUGAGGAAUUCAAGCUCUUAAAUCUACUUCUGUUCAUUUGCCAGUUUUUGGUUAUAGUAGGGGAUCAGCAAACUUUUCCUGCAAAGUGUCAGAUAGUAAAUAUUUUAGGGUUAGGAGGCUGUAGGGUCUCUCUCGCAAUUAUUCAGCAUUGCUCCUAUAGCACAAAAUGGGCCUAGAGACACAUACAUGGAUAUACUUGUGUUCCAAUAAAACUUUAAUGGUGGAGAUUAAAAUUUGAAUUGUAUAUAAUUUUAACGUGUCUCAAAAUAUUAUUUAAAAUUUUUUUCAACCACUUGAAAAAAAAAUUAUUAGCUUGUGGGCCUCACCAUAUUUGGCCUAUAGUACUUCAUUUGCUCACCCCAGGCCUAAAUACUUUUAAUCUUCCUACUUUAAAAAAUUAAUCUAGCUCACUUGUUCUUGAAGGGAAAGGACUUAGGGGUAAUUUAUUCAAUGAAGUUCAGCAGAACGUGGUGGUUAAGAGCAUAGACUCCAGGAACAGAAUGGUUGGGUUUAAACACCAGCUUCUACCACUCACAAGCUGUUACGGAAUUACUUACACUCUCUAAACCUGUGUCUCCUCAUUUACAAAUUGAAGCUGACAUCAAUAGAACCCAACUAGCAAGGUUGUUCGGAGAAGGCAAUGACACCCCACUCCAGUACUCUUGCCUGGAAAAUCCCAUGGAUGGAGAAGCGACCAUGGGGUCGCUAAGAGUUGGACACGACUGAGCGACUUCACUUUCACUUUUCACUUUCAUGCAUUGGAGAAGGAAAUGGCAACCCACUCCAGU